UGUAGACAAUGAUUCCAAUGACUGAAGCAAUAAUCAAAAAAAUCCAGAAGAAGACUGCACUUGUACAUAAUGUUAUACGCACGCACUUCCCACAGGCAGUGUAUGGCACGUGUUCCUCUUGCUGUGUGAUUUCAUUCACUACUACGUGAGUGCACUGAGCUUCAUAUUCUGGGCGAAUUUGUUCUUCUUGCUCUAAGUACUCCACUGUGUCCCAUUCAUACUCCAG
rnacentral:lncRNA from 1 species